AGGACGAACGCUGGCGGCGUGCUUAACACAUGCAAGUGGAGCGACGAACCAGGCUUCGGCCUGGGGCAGAGCCGCGAACGGGUGAGUAACACGUGGGUAACCUGCCCUGAUGAUUGGGACAACCCGAGGAACUCGGGCUAAUACCAAAUGUGCCCUCUGGCCUCAAGGCCUCUGGGGAAAGGAGCUUCGGCCUCCGCAUUGGGAUGGGCCCGCGGCCUAUCAGCUUGUUGGUGGGGUAACGGCCUACCAAGGCGACGACGGGUA
rnacentral:rRNA from 1 species